rnacentral:rRNA from 1 species
GACGGAAGGUGCAAGCGUUGCUCGGAAUCACUGGGCGUAAAGGGUGCGUAGGCGGCCGUGCAAGUCUGGCGUAAAAGCCCCGGGCUCAGCCCGGGAAGUGCGCUCGAAACUGCGCGGCUCGAGUGCCGGAGGGGAGAGUGGAAUUCCUGGUGUAGCGGUGAAAUGCGUAGAUAUCAGGAGGAACACCGGUGGCGAAGGCGGUUCUCUGGGAAUAUCCUGACGCUGAGGAGCGAAAGUGUGGGGAGCGAACAGG